GACCGAGGGCUACCAGUCCACCCUGGUUUGAAGCCCCCACCAGCUCGCUCCAAUGGACUGCUCUUCCUGCAAGCAGUAGACAAAGCAGGCAGCUGCCAAACAACGUUAAAAGGGAAGAUUGGACAACUUUAAAUGAGCCUGAUCUGUAACUGCUCAGCAAUGUAACAAUGAAGCAACGUUAA